UUUUUUUGUUUUUGUUUUUUUUUUUUGGCCAUGCCCACAGCAUGAAGAAGCAGUGGGAUCAAACCCACACAUCAGUGACCUGAGCCACAGUAGCAACAACGCCAGAUCCUUAACCGGCCAAUCCACUAGGGAACUGCAAGGUUUUGCUUCGAAAGAACCCAAUCUAAGAAAACUGUAUAUAAGAAAUACUCUCUAUAGGAGUUUCUGUGAUGCAGUGUGUCAAGCAUCUAACACUGCCACAGCUGUAGCACAGGUUGCAGCUGUGGCUCAGAUUCAAUCCCUGGCCCUGGAACUUGCAUAUGCCACAAGGGUAGCCAAAAAAAGGAAAUACUCUUCACUACUCAAUACCCCAAAAAAAAAAAAAAAAAAAAUUCAACNNNNNNNNNNNNNNNNNNUGAGCUGUGGGUCACAGAUGCGGCUCAGAUCCCAAGUUGCUGUGGCUUCAGUUUCAUUUCCACCGCGCCACAACAGGAACUCAAAAGGCUGCUUCUCGGCAUUCACUUCCUAACAAGCUUACUGUGCACUUGUUGCACAGUAAGCUUGUGUUUUGUUCACUUUUCCACAGGAAGUGAAAGGAAAAAGGAUGUCCUUCAGGUCUGAGUAGCUCAGGGCAGGAGCAGGGAUACACCAGAGGGCGACGCAAGGGCAGCUGUCAGGCAGCCUCUAAGGCUUCUGAGGAGCAAAGGAAGUUCGGAAGGAGGCAGGUGGGGUCAGGUCUGCUGUGUCCCCGGACUCUCCCUGGGGCCUUCUGGAGGUGGUUUGACAGGGGACGGCCCCAGCCAGCCAACCCUCGGCGGGGUCACUGCCCCCCAGGACAGGGGGCAGUCUUUCCUGGGUGGAGUCACAGAGAUGUGACUGGGUUGCCCAGCGAGGGGCACCAUGCAGCUGGGUCACAGCCAGAGACCUUCCCUCACUGCCCCUCCUCUAGGGACACAGGAUCUGGUUCGAUAUCCCCUGGGUGGCCUUGCUGCCUCAGAGGCCAGCCAAGUUGGUGCUGGACAAGAAGCCCCUGGCCCCCAGGCCCGCCCCCUGGUCUUCCUUGGUGCCCUCUGGGGUGCAGGAAGCUCCCCCUUGGACCAGCAGGGGGCAUCCACGCAACGUGACCUAGAGUUGGGCUGGGGGGACAACUCCAGCUUGUCUAGUGGGGUCUCUUCUGGUUCUAAAUGCAUCCUUUUUAAUCUAAAUGCACGCUUUCUGAUCAACAGCGGGAAAAGUAAGCCUGUGCUCACUGCUCAGCUUGAGAGGCUUCCCAAAGUGUUUGGGGCCCUUUUCCUGAGCCCAGGAAUCAAACCCGUCUCUGAACUCACCAUCGGGCUGGCAGGUCAGGGAGGCCUCUCUGAGCCUCAGUUUCCCCAUCUGUAGAUGAGGCAGCAGUAGCACCUUGGGCCAGCCUCCCGUUGGUUUCCCCCCACAGUCUGGGGCAAGGAGAGCAGAGUGGGGCAGGUCAGCCUUGCCCCCUUGGCUGGGUGAAAGUACAUCCAGAACCUCGGGAGGCAGGCUAACUAGACACCCCCACAAUGACUACCAGAGAUCGAGAGGGGUGGCAGGACGCCAGGCAGGGGCCAGGGUCGAGGCUCAGAGCAGUGAAAGCAGAUCACAUGCCUGAGACUUGAACCUAGGCCUGUCACCUGUAAACCACGUCCAAGAGCAGCUGCCCUCCAGACAAACUACGCGCAGAGCUUAGCACCUAGACUACAGGAAACGCUCAGCAAGUGGCACCACCCUCCUACCCCAUGUGAGUAACACAACACCCACGGCAGGUCUCAGGAGGGAAUGGGGCCUCUUCCAGCCCCUCCUUCACACUGGACGACCACGCCUGGGGCCCUGCCCACUACCCCUGACCCUCAGACUAACAACUGAGCCCCUGGGCCUGGGGGCGGCUCGGCCAGGGUCUGGGGUGGGCCUCUGGCAGCCACAGGCCUCACCUGUCCAAGCAGCCCGCAGGACCUGUCACGUGGCUCAGGACCCUAGAACCCCCAAAACCUUCCAGCUCAGGGGUCUUGCCAUGAGCUGGCUCCAAAGUGGCUGCAUGCCAGCGAAAAGCAGCAACACCUGGUGUCCUACAGCCGUCACUGGCACCGCAGACCCUGGGCCCUGGUGGAAACUGUGUCUCUGCCCCAAGCCCCUGCUUAAACUCUUCAGAGGAAGGGAAGCUGUAGCCAGCGGGGAACGGCGUGCCUCACCGGGUUCCCCAGCGAAUUCGGGAAGAGAGAGAGCAGAGAAUUGCAGCCUCGUUGGGGGCAGGAAAAGCCCAGCAGCACUGGCCGCCCCCCACCCCGCCAGAAACACCUGCAGAGACGGUGCCGGACACUUGGCUCCUGGAAGAGGUGGCCACUGUCUUCCCUGCCGCACCGCAAGGAGCCCCCCAUGCCCCCGACCCACAUCCUCUUUCAGCUUCCACCCACCACCCCACCCGGACACGCCCCAGGCAGGGGGGGGACCGCCAAACAAGGGGUCUUCUCCUGAGACUGUUCAUCAACAGUAAGUGGACACGAAGGAUCUCAUGGCUUGGGUUUUACAGAGCAAGUUCCUCUUCCCCGGAGGAAAAGUCCAGCGAGGACCGAGGACCCUAAGUUCUCUGCCACCCUGACCCCCAGCUAAGUCUGUUUUUAAGGGGAAAAUAAAUUCUCAGCCUGAGCGGCUGUGCCAGGGCAAGCAGGGGGCUGGAAUUCCACGGCGAGAAACAAGGGGUUAAUCACAGCUGGGCCUGGGCCGGGUAUCGACCAGAGGACGUGGGCAUCCGGGGCCACGGUCCCCACCCAUCCCCGGCCUACUGAGGGCCUACUCUUCCUGUGGCACGGCAGCCAGCGCUUCCUCUAGGAAGUCUUCCUGGAGCCCCCCACUGGGUUCCAAGCUCCCAGCCCCUGCACAGCAACCGCCACGGACAGUGGGUGCUGGGAGCCCUUCCUGCCCAGCUGUCUUCCAGUAAACAUUGGUUAAUCCAGCAAAUGACCCCAAUACAUACACGUUAUACACACACACACACACACACACAAUUUAGGGCCACACCUGUGGCAUAUGGAGGUUCCCAGGCUAGGGGGUCAAGUUGGAGCUGCAGCCACCACCCUAAGCCACAGCCACAGCAAUGCCAGGUCUUAGCCCAUAAGCCGGGUCAGGGAUCAGAACCUGCAUCCUCAUGGAUACUAGUCAGCUUCUUAACCUGCUGAGCCACAAUAGGAACUCCCCAAUUAUAUAUUUGAAGGAUUUUUUUUUUGCCACAUCUACAGCAUGUGGAAGUUCCCAGGCCAGGGGUAAAACCCGCACAACAGCAGCAAUUCAAGCCACUACAGUGACAACACUGGAUCCUUAAUUCGCUGAGCCACAAGGGAACUCUUAGGCCUUUUAGUUCUGCAGCCUCACUGCCCUGGACCUGACUUGUGGCAGCAGAAGCUGGCGCUCUGGAUUUGGGCUGAGAGCGGACUACCCAACUCUGGGUCCUGGUCUGUUACCAGCUGCACACAGUGUUUAGUGACCUGUGGCCCAGGGACCUGUCCAC
rnacentral:lncRNA from 1 species